rnacentral:rRNA from 1 species
GACGAACGCUGGCGGCGUGCUUAACACAUGCAAGUCGAACGGAAAGGCCCUGCUUGCAGGGUACUCGAGUGGCGAACGGGUGAGUAACACGUGGGUGAUCUGCCCUGCACUUCGGGAUAAGCCUGGGAAACUGGGUCUAAUACAGGAUAGAAGCCAUUUUUAGUGUGAUGGUUGGAAAGUUUUUUCGGUGUAGGAUGAGCUCGCGGCCUAUCAGCUUGUUGGUGGGGUAAUGGCCUACCAAGGCGGCGACGGGUAGCCGGCCUGAGAGGGUGGACGGCCACAUUGGGACUGAGAUAAGGCCCAGAAUCCUACGGGAGGCAGCAGUGGGGAAUAUUGCACAAUGGGCGCAAGCCUGAUGCAGCGACGCCGCGUGGGGGAUGACGGCCUUCGGGUUGUAAACUCCUUUCGCUAGGGACGAAGCUUUUUGUGACGGUACCUAGAUAAGAAGCACCGGCUAACUACGUG